rnacentral:rRNA from 1 species
AUUGAACGCUGGCGGCAGGCCUAACACAUGCAAGUCGAACGAGUGGCGGACGGGUGAGUAAUGUCUGGGAAACUGCCCGCUGGAGGGGGAUAACUACUGGAAACGGUAGCUAAUACCGCAUACCAUCGGAUGUGCCCAGAUGGGAGUAGCUUGUCGGUGAGGUAACGGCUCACCUAGGCGACGAUCCCUAGCUGGUCUGAGAGGAGGACCAGCCACACGGGAAGUGAUACAAGGUGGAGACUCGUACGGGAGGCAGCAGGGGGGAAUAUGGCACAAUGGGGGAAAGCCUGAUGCAGCGAGGCCGCGUGGAUGAAGAAGGCCUUCGGGUUGGAAAGUAAUGUCAGCGGGGAGUCGUUACCCGCAGAAGAAGCACCGGCUAACUCCGUGCGAGCAGCCGCUGUGAUUC